rnacentral:rRNA from 1 species
CCUACGGGAGGCAGCAGUGGGGAAUCUUGCGCAAUGCACGAAAGUGUGACGCAGCAACGCCGCGUGGAGGAAGAAGGCUCUCGGGUCGUAAACUCCUUUCAGUUGGGACGAAGCUUCGUCGGUUAAUAGCCGGCUGGAGUGACGGUACCUUCACAAGAAGCACCGGCUAACUACGUGCCAGCAGCCGCGGUAAUACGUAGGGUGCAAGCGUUGUCCGGAAUCAUUGGGCGUAAAGAGCGUGUAGGCGGCCCGAUUAGUCCGCUGUGAAAGUCCAGGGCUCAACCCUGGAAUGCCGGUGGAUACUGUCGGGCUCGAGUCCGGAAGAGGCGAGUGGAAUUCCUGGUGUAGCGGUGAAAUGCGCAGAUAUCAGGAAGAACACCAACGGCGAAGGCAGCUCGCUGGGACGGUACUGACGCUGAGACGCGAAAGCGUGGGGAGCAAACAGGAUUAGAUACCCUGGUAGUCCACGCCGUAAACGAUGGGUACUAGGUGUGGGGGUGUCGCUCCCCCGUGCCGAAGCUAACGCAUAGUACCCGCCUGGGGAGACGCGCGAGAACGUAACGUAGAAGAGUAGAGNGNGAGNGCGCGACGACGACGACGAGGAGGAG